AUUAUGCUAUAAAUGGMUUUUUUCUCACAUGAAUGACAUUCUAAUAGCGUAGGAUAACGUUAUAUGUGAAUGCAGGGAACUACUGAAAAUGUGGUGGCAUGAAUGUUAGCUUAUCAGGCACAAUAAAAAACAGAUAGUCAAUCUUGCACAUGGUUCAUCCCAGAGGAAGUACCUGGAAGGUUUGAUUAUCCGUUGUCGUUUAGCUGGAGUGUGAUCAAAAGACAUUUUCUGAAAAUGAAGUGUCCUCGAUGUAACACACUUUGUGAGGUGGGACAGCCGUUUUGUUUGAGAUGCAACGCAAUCGUCGAGAGAGAGCGAGAGCCAGGCAGUCUGAAAGAUGUGGCUGUUGACCGGGGUAGGAGUAGGGCACCUGAAGAUACCCCCCUGCCAAUGGAUUGUUCCUCAGAUGAAGAGGAAUUUCAUGAUGCCAGUGACCAAUUCUUUGACUUAUACCUUGGGGAAGAUGAGGACACUUCUCAGAGAGUACAAGCUGGUGAUCUAGAGGUAGAUCCAGCUAAACAGAUGGAUGCUGCUGUAGCAGAACCUGUGCCACCG